CGCCCUCCCUGUGGUUGCCGACCCUCCGGGGCUAGCGCCUGAGAUCCCUUUCCCAGAGUGCUCUGCGCUGUGAAGAAGCGGCUCCCGGGGACUGGGGGCAUUUUGUGUUGGCUGGAGCCGGAGUAACAAGAUGGCGGCGUCGGCGGAGUGACAGGAGUCCCUCCGGGCGGGAGCCGGCGGCAGUGGUGGCAGCGGUAUCGCCGCCCUAAACCACCGCGCCCCUUUUCCAGCCCGCGACGUCGCCGUGAAAGCGAGGCAGCGGCGGCCGCCCAGGAACAAGUGGCCCAGCCUGGUAACCGCGAGAACCCCCUCAUAAACUGCGGCCUGGCAAAAAGAAGCCGGACUGAGCGGCGGUGAUCAGGUUCCCCUUGACCGAGUCUGGGCCCUGUAACGCCUGGAAAGAGCCAGCGCUUGCCGUUUCCUGCCGCCCUCCUCCGCAGCCUGCUCAGUGGACGAGCCCCAGAGGCCUCUGUUCUCCCCUCAGAGGUGUCGGGGCUUGGCCCCAGCCUCCAUCUUCGUCUCUCAGGAUGGCGAGCAGCAGCGGCUCCAAGGCCGAAUUCAUUGUCGGAGGGAAAUAUAAACUGGUACGGAAGAUCGGGUCUGGCUCCUUCGGGGACAUUUAUCUGGCGAUCAACAUUACCAACGGCGAGGAAGUGGCAGUGAAGCUAGAAUCUCAGAAGGCCAGGCAUCCCCAGUUGCUGUACGAGAGCAAACUCUAUAAGAUCCUUCAAGGUGGGGUGGGCAUCCCCCACAUACGGUGGUAUGGUCAGGAAAAAGACUACAAUGUGCUAGUCAUGGAUCUUCUCGGACCCAGCCUCGAAGACCUCUUCAAUUUCUGUUCAAGAAGGUUCACAAUGAAAACUGUACUUAUGUUAGCUGACCAGAUGAUCAGUAGAAUUGAAUAUGUGCAUACAAAGAAUUUUAUACACAGAGACAUUAAACCAGAUAACUUCCUAAUGGGUAUUGGGCGUCACUGUAAUAAGUGUUUAGAAUCUCCAGUGGGGAAGAGGAAAAGAAGCAUGACUGUUAGUACUUCUCAGGACCCAUCUUUCUCAGGAUUAAACCAGUUAUUCCUUAUUGAUUUUGGUUUGGCCAAAAAGUACAGAGACAACAGGACAAGGCAACACAUACCAUACAGAGAAGAUAAAAAUCUCACUGGCACCGCCCGAUAUGCUAGCAUCAAUGCACAUCUCGGUAUUGAACAGAGUCGCCGAGAUGACAUGGAAUCAUUAGGAUAUGUUUUGAUGUAUUUUAAUAGAACCAGCCUGCCCUGGCAAGGACUAAAGGCUGCGACAAAAAAGCAAAAAUAUGAAAAGAUAAGUGAAAAGAAGAUGUCCACUCCUGUUGAAGUUUUAUGUAAGGGGUUUCCUGCAGAAUUUGCCAUGUACUUAAACUAUUGUCGUGGGCUGCGCUUUGAGGAAGCCCCGGAUUACAUGUAUCUGAGGCAGCUAUUCCGCAUUCUUUUCAGGACUCUGAACCACCAGUAUGACUACACAUUUGAUUGGACAAUGUUAAAGCAGAAAGCAGCACAGCAGGCAGCCUCUUCAAGUGGGCAGGGUCAGCAGGCCCAAACCCCCACAGGCAAGCAAACUGACAAAACCAAGAGUAACAUGAAAGGAACGUGGCUGGUCACUCAGCAACGUAACCCAAAUCACAGGGGAAGACCUUGAAAUAAUCUGGAGACUGAUCUUCUCUGAAUACACUUAAUCUAAAGAAGUGCCAGAGAGCUGCAUCUGCUUGCUGAAAUUUUUGUCAGCUUUUUUCAUUGUGGACACUACCACUGGAGAGAAAAGAGCUCAGUAACCCAACAGGAAAUGAAGACCAGUGUGCAAGAAUUGAUUUGUGGUCAUCUGAAUGAAUCUCACAUCUCCAAGGCUGGCUGGACUUACCAAACAUGAACUUGUCAGAAAAUCUGGACGAUACCACAACAGUCAGAAGACCUAGAGGAGUACAGUGUUGCUGUGACUCAGUGGUGUAUAAUGCAGACCAUCUACCAGUUGGGGAAGGAAUCAAUUGUAACAGGAGCAAAGGGAUCCCUUUCUUAUUUUAACUGUUGUUGCAGUGAAGAUGGGUGUUUGGACUUUUAGAAGCCAGGAGACACCACCUAAAUUACAAGAUAAAAACCAAGGAAUCAAUGCACACUGGAAAAAGGAAUGCACUUGAAGAUUGAAUGUUGAAUACUUGCUGAAUGCUCCCAUUGAGAUUUUUCCUACGUAAACUUGAGUAACAUCUUAGGACAAUUCUCUGGAGAAACAUUGAUCCCUGGGUGGAGUAUCCUACCAUUGGCCAAUCUGAAGAGUUACCUCUGGAUCUGACUGCUCUAUUCCUCCAGGAAUAUUUUUAGGCUAGCCUCUGUCUGAUUCCUAAGCAAUUGUAAUCAUUAACUGACCCAGUAAUUUCUCAAAUAUCAGAUGAACAGAUACAAUUCUUACCUAGAUCUAAUUUUUAUCCCUAUUAAAGACACAAGAGUGUUCUAAUAUUUUGACAUUGUAACUUACGUUUUGUUUUUAGUUAGUGAUAGCGGUUUCUAUUUUAAAGCUGUUUGGAUAUUCAACGUAGUAAUUAGAUUAUUCAGUAUAACGUAAUCACAUAGCAGGGUGUGGUAAACAGUUUUAGUAGCUGUGUAAACAUUUUUCUUUAUCAUAUUUAAGAAUAAUUGCAGGACUUGAAAUCAAAUGUUCAUCAGGGUAAGGGACACCUCUAAUUAGCUAAUUCAUAGUUUUAAUUUGCUUCACAGUAUUCUGUAUUUUAACAUUGGAAUCACGUUACAGAAUAUGGUCUUAAUUUUAAGGGUUUUAAUUCAGGUUUGAUCUGACAGCCUUUUCUUUUUGUGCUUACUUUGCUAAUUCUCUUUAGUAAUAUAUACCAAAUAGAAUAUUCCUUGUGAUGAAGUUCAUUUUCAGAAGUCUUCAUAAAAUUUUUCAUUUUGGCAUUUACUUUAUGAAUUUAGUACUUGGGCAGGCAACAGAGGUUUAUUUUAUUUAUUUUAUUUAACAGAGGUUUAUUUUGUGUCUACUCUGUUAGUCGGCGUAGAGAGCGAAAGAAUGUGUAUAGCACUGUCCUCAGAGUGUUAGCACAAUAUGUUUUUAAACGAAUUAAGAUGACUUUCAGCCCUCAAAUGAACAAAUUCCUAAUUAACGAGUGAGCCCAUAUUUCCCCAAAAAUGAUAUAUAAAUGUUUGGUGUUAUCUUUCCGGGGGGCGGGGGAGGGGUGUGUAGGGAGGCAUAGAUUUUAGAAGCAUAUUAUUUGUCCCACAGAGCCCAUUGGAAAUGGUCCAGCGAAUGUUUGAGAAGCACAAAGAAGGGAGAAGUUUAUGAUGAAUAAAAACAUGGUUUCCAUGCUGAAUUUAGAAGUGAGAGAUCAGAGUGGGCUAGAAAGAGCUAUAAUGAGGCCAGCUAUAGGGGUUUGGAAGGGGAUGAACCAAGGGGCAUGGUCACCUCAAGGGAAGGCUUUUGGUGAGAAGAGGUGGUACUGAUGGGGUUUUCGUGUUUUGGCUGAGGAAUGGGCAUACUUCCUUUCUGCCUUGAGCCACAGAUAAAGCUUGUAGGUAAUAGAGAUAAGCAUUUGCUCUAGUGGUCUUUUGCCACAGAUGGAACAUGCAGCUGUUACUACCCGAGGCUGGUUUCUAUUCAAACCUGCCUAUGUGUGGAAGUCUUAAGAGUCUAAUUGUGGCAGAGGGAGGUAGUGUUUACAGGGUGGGAAGGCUUGCAAAGUAAAUCCAAAACAAAAAAGCCUCACUUGUUUAGGUUUUCAAAUCCAGGGCAAAACUUUUUUAAGGUGUUAUUGGUGGAAGUACAACGUUUUUAAAGGUUUAAGGUUUCUGUGAUAAAAAUCAUACUGACCAGGUUUGUGUUCUAUGGAAUAACUCAAUUAUGUCUUGAAUACAUUUAUUAUUAAAGCUUAUUGCUCCUUAUUUGGAUCAGAAGUAAUGUGCAGAAAAGUUCCUGCGUAUAGUAUGAUUAAGACUAUAGUUUGUAAUUUUUAAGGCAAAACCAUCUUACUUUUCAUUCGUUUGAUAAAUAUUUGAACACGUUCUAUGCUCUAGGUACUAGAAGUCUAGAAAUAAAUAAAACAGGCUCAUUGGAAUUCCCAGUAAUUCUCGGGUCUGAAAAGUGUAUGCUGACUGGGAAGGCUUUGAUUCACCGUGUACCGCUCCUUCGUAAAGGCACCUAGAACAGAAAAGUUUUUGUAUGUAGUUUUAAGAUGAGCUGUGAUUUUCAAAUAGAUGAAGAUAUUCUGAGUCACCAUUCUAAUAAAGUAAUUAUUGGCCCAGUUCCACCCAA